AAAUAUUAGCUGAUAAAGUAACCGAAUAUAACAAGGGAUUAGCCCAACUAUGUAUAGAACAAAACUGGUGUCUUAUCUGGCAUGGCACAAUAAUAUUGACGUAAAUUGGCAUUAAAUAACUAAGGAUUGCACUUAAAUAACCAGGGUACAUCAGUCUUAGAGAAAAUAUAAAGCAAUUUCUUAAUAGUAAUUGACAAAAUAAUGGUAAUAAUUAUGAUAUAAGGCACCAUAAUAACCAGUGGCGUAGC